AUUGAACGCUGGCGGCACGCCUUACACAUGCAAGUCGAACGGUAACAGGUCUUCGGAUGCUGACGAGUGGCGAACGGGUGAGUAAUGCAUCGGAACGUGCCCAGUAGUGGGGGAUAGCCCGGCGAAAGCCGGAUUAAUACCGCAUACGACCUGAGGGUGAAAGGGGGGGAUCGCAAGACCUCUCGCUAUUGGAGCGGCAGAUGUCAGAUUAGCUAGUUGGUGGGGUAAAGGCCUACCAAGGCAACGAUCUGUAGUUGGUCUGAGAGGACGACCAGCCACACUGGGACUGAGACACGGCCCAGACUCCUACGGGAGGCAGCAGUGGGGAAUUUUGGACAAUGGGCGCAAGCCUGAUCCAGCAAUGCCGCGUGCAGGAAGAAGGCCUUCGGGUUGUAAACUGCUUUUGUCAGGGAAGAAAUCUUCUGGGUUAAUACCUCGGGAGGAUGACGGUACCUGAAGAAUAAGCACCGGCUAACUCCGUGCCAGCCGCCGCCGUAACAC
rnacentral:rRNA from 1 species